GAGUCUAAACUUACUUUUAAUCCUUUCUCUGUCUGUAUCUCUACACCCCAUCUCUGUCUCUUUCAUAUUUCCUUUCUCUAUAUCUAUCGUUCUUCCUCCAAAAGAUGGCCAGAUGGGCUGUUUGCAUGUCAGUCACAAGCCGUGAUUGCAUUGUCCCUUGUUUCUCUUGCUUUGUUGUUGCUGUUGUUAUAUUUAGGCGGUUCUUUCUUGCUUUGCUGCUUCCUUAUCUUAUUAUUAUUUAUCCCCCGUCUCGCCCCACUGGCCUGCCGUUUCCUGCUCAGUAAGAAAUUUCUUUUUCACCUUUUUUUUUCUGGUUUUGCUUCCGUCAAAUCUGCAGUUCCACAGAAGCCUUUUCUUGGACGUUGCUUUAUUAGGCUUUCCUUCACAAAACCCAUGUCAAGAGAUGCAGCCUCAGCUUCUUUCUAUCAAUGAUGAUGUAGGUAAAGGAGUUGUUGGUAGGGAUGGAACUCGAAAGAAGCGAGAAGGGUCUCCAUUGAGCAAUCUUGAGCUUGGAAUUGGCGAUUCUAGAGGGUUGAGAGGCGUGGUUAAGGAGGAAAAGGAUCAGCUUGUGUUCACAGCUGAGCAACUUCAACAGCUGCAGCUUCAAGUUGUCAUUUUUAGGUACAUAGUUGCUGGACUACCUGUGCCUAUCGAUCUUGUUCUUCCUGUUUGGCGGAGUCUUGCGGCCUCCCUGGGCUCUUCCAAGAGUGGAAUCUACGACCAACUCCCUAGUUUCUUAGGAUUCACUCCUAGAGAUUUUGAUUACCGAAGCAUGAUGGAUGCUGAACCUGGGAGGUGCCGAAGAACUGAUGGCAAGAAAUGGAGGUGUUACAGAGACGUGGUUCCUAAUCAAAAGUACUGUGAAAGGCACAUGCAUAGAGGCUGUCAGCGUUCAAGAAAGCAUGUGGAAACUUCUGAAGAUGACACGAAAGCUAAUUCCUCAGCAAUCAACUCUGAUAUCUUUGCAUCAUCUAUGAAUACUUCAAAUGCUACCACUACUGAUAGCAGGACGCCUGCUAUGCUCUCUACUAGCCUUAAUCUUACAGUACCCUGUCCCAGCAUUAGCAAAAGUGUCCCUGAAACACUUAAAAGUAGCUCUGCACCCUAUACUGGAAAUGGGAAUUGGGAAAGCAAAGGUGACAAUGUUAUGACAGUCAACAAUGGCACCAGUACCAGUUCUUUAAUCCGAGUUCUAGCUGACAAAAAUAACACAAAAUAUGGAAGUAACUGCACUGAUGGCAUAGGCUUCGAAUGUUCCAACAUUAGUACCAACAAAAUUGAUCAGAGCAGUGGAGGAAACAAGAAAUCUGGUGAUGCUUCUGUUGUUCCUGGGUUUGGUUUGUCUCCAAAGAGUGUUCUCCAAUGUAGCACAGCUAGCAACUGCAAUCAAUUGAACUUUGACUGUAAGACAGAAGUGGAAGUGGAACCACUGAGAUGCCGCAGAACAGAUGGUAAAAAAUGGCGAUGCAGCAGGGAUGUGGUACCUGAUAAGAAGUAUUGUGAGAGGCACUUACACAGGGGUGUAAAAAAGGCAGUUGCAGGUUCUAAACUGAUAAUUGGUGCUCCUGCUGCUCCUCCGUCUCAUAACAUUCAAACUUGCGGGACAGCCACAAAAGUUGAGAAGCUGAAUACCAAUCUCUCCAUCUCAAUUGCAGCAAAUCCCCAGCAUAUGUCUGAUGCCGAUUCUAGCAGCUUCAGCAACAGUGAUGCCACAACUGUGACAGAUGAAAAUGUUACCAGUUCUCACAUUCUAACUUUAUCUCCAUGAUUUCUUUGCCAAACUCCGAUUCUGAAGCCCUGUUCUCAUUUGGAGCACCAGCUAGCUACUAUAUGUUAACAGCAGCAGAGGCAUCUGCACAAUCAUUGGCUUUCCAGCGGUGGGUAUUUGGCCAUGCGGGACUCAAAUUUUCCAUUUCAUCGUUCAUGCUGGUGCUGGGGAUGCAAAACUCUUUGCCCGGAAUGGCUAGUGGACAAAGCUUAUGAAUGUUCCCAGACAAGUAUUUAGGAAAUCAAAGUUACUUUUUUUUUUUUCUGUAUUUCCUUCUA